rnacentral:rRNA from 1 species
AUUGAACGCUGGCGGCAUGCUUUACACAUGCAAGUCGAGCGGCAGCGCGGGGGCAACCCUGGCGGCGAGCGGCGAACGGGUGAGUAAUGCAUCGGAACGUACCCUGGAGUGGGGGAUAACGCCGCGAAAGCGGCGCUAAUACCGCAUAUGCUCUGAGGAGGAAAGCGGGGGCUCGCAAGACCUCGCGCUCUGGGAGCGGCCGAUGUCCGAUUAGCUAGUUGGUGGGGUAAAGGCUUACCAAGGCGACGAUCGGUAGCUGGUCUGAGAGGAUGAUCAGCCACACUGGGACUGAGACACGGCCCAGACUCCUACGGGAGGCAGCAGUGGGGAAUUUUGGACAAUGGGGGCAACCCUGAUCCAGCCAUGCCGCGUGAGUGAAGAAGGCC